AGCGAUUGCACAACAAAAUUAUGAAAUCUCAACAACCGCAAUAUGAGACAACAAACAUGGCUGCGCCCACGAAGACCUCGAGUUUGAUCCUAUUGUAUAUAAAAACAGCAUCAUGUGAGCAAUAAUGAAGAAGAACACGAUUCAUUUGUUGAGUCAAAGAGAAUAUGGUGUAAAGUGUAGUUACAGACAUAAUUGCAAUAUUAUGAGAGAGCUGGUUUUGCAGCCAGAUGCUAAAUUUAAGAAGAUUUGGCAACGUAGAGCCAAGCAUCCCAUUCUGUGUGAGGGAGGGAAGCUGUACUUUGACCAGUAUCGGACAUGCUUUACCAAGUG